CGAGCGGCGAGCUGAAUCCUUUGCAGACGACUUAAAUACGCGACGGGGUAUUGUAAGGGUAGAGUGGCCUUGCUGCCACGAUCCUCUGAGAUUCAGCCCUUUGUCGCUCCGAUUCGU
rnacentral:ncRNA from 1 species